rnacentral:tRNA from 2 species
UAGGGCGUAGCCAAGCGGUAAGGCAGCGGCCUUUGGCGCCGUGAUCGAGGGUUCAAAUCCUUCCGCCCUAA